rnacentral:lncRNA from 1 species
UCCAGUAUGUCACCAUCGGAAUAUUUCUGUAAUCUCUAACCUUUGCCGCUACAUAUUUCGAAAACGCACUAGAAUUAUCACCAAUGCAUUUUCCAGACGAAUCAAACGAAUAAGGCUGUUGUUUCCAAUUCGGAAUUGAGGGUCCACAUCUCCAUUGAGUUGAUCCUUAUAAAUACAGAAAAAACAAUUAAAAACCAAGAAACAAAAAUAAUUUUUCAAUUUAAGCAUAAAACUAGUUAGAAUAAAAAACAUAAACUAAAAUUAAUAAUCAUAAUAAUUUAAAAAUGAACCACCUUCGAGCUCUUCCUCUUCGAAUUGGAGUUCCUCAGAUGUUGAUCUUCAAAAUGGUGAUACAUAGAAAAUUGAGAAGGAGAAGAGGUGUGACAACUCAUCCCUAAAAUUUCGUUUUUUUGAUUUUAAUCGAAGGAAUUGACGAAAAUGCCUAGAGGCAAGGAUUUUGAUUUAUGUUGACCAUAGUCUAGAGGAAUGUAUGACUUAUUCUUUUGGUGUAUUUAAGUAGUACUUGUUGGUACGAACACAUAGGUGAAAACAGUUUACGAGUCUGGAUUAUAACGGUAUAGUUACAAACGUUUGAAGUUGGUUAUUUAAAGUUAGUUAAUUGGUUAAGGAGGACCAAUUAGAUAAAAGGUAGAAAAAGGGCAGCAGCCCAAUCAGAAAUCAGGAAAGA